rnacentral:rRNA from 1 species
GUCUAUGGCCAUGCCACCCUGAACACGCUCGAUCUCGUUUGAUCUCGGAAGCUAAACAGGGUUGGGCCUGGUUAGUACUUGGAUGGGAGACCACCUAGGAAGACCAGGUGCUGUAGGCG